UACAGAGGUCCCAAGCGUUGUUCGGAUUCACUGGGCGUAAAGGGUGCGUAGGUGGUGGGGUAAGUUUGAUGUGAAAACCUUGGGCUUAACUCAGGGCUUGCUUUCGAUACGGGCAGACUAGAGGUAUGCAGGGGAGAACGGAAUUCCUGGUGUAGCGGUGAAAUGCGCAGAUAUCAGGAGGAACACCGGUGGCGAAGGCGGGUCUCUGGGCAGUAACUGACGCUGAGGAGCGAAAGCGUGGGGAGCGAACAGG
rnacentral:rRNA from 1 species